GGAGAAGGAUGUGGAAUUGCACAGACAACCAGGAUGUUGGCUCAGAAGCAGCCACACAUUUAAAGAGUGCGUAAUAGCUCACUGGUCGAGUGAUUGUGCGCCGAAGAUGUCCGGGGCUAAACGUGACACCGAAGCGAUGGGUGCAUCUGAGAAGAUGCGCGGUAGAGGAGCAAUGUGCAGAGGCAGAAGCCGUAUCGAGAGGCACGGUGGACACUGCACAAGAGAGAAUGCCGGUAUGAGUAGCGAGAGGCAUGCGAGAAACAUGCCCGUCGAAAGCCCAAGGUUUCCUGGGGAAGGUUCAUCCGCCCAGGGUAAGUCGGGGCCUAAGCCGAGGACGGAAGUCGUAGGCGAUGGACAGCAGGUGUAGAUUCCUGCACUACCGAUGGAAUGAAGCAGUGACACAGAAGGAUAACUCGAGCAGGGUGAUGGUCAACCCUGUGCAAGCAUCAAGGUUGGGUUGUAGUGAAGUACGCAAUCCUAUAAGCUGAGGUGUGAUGCGGACCGAAAUUUCAGUAGGGAAGCGAGUGAGUUCACGCUGGCGAGAAAAGCUGCUAGUACAUCCAAAGGUACCCGUACCGGAAACCGACGCAGGUGGGCGAGGAGAGAAUCCUGAGACGAACGGGAGAACCCUUGUUAAGGAACUCGGCAAAAUGACCCCGUAACUUCGGGAUAAGGGGUGCCUGCGAGAGCAGGCCGCAGAGAAUAGUCACAAGCGACUGUUUAGCAAAAACACAGGUAUCUGCGAAAGCGAGAGCUGACGUAUAGGUGCUGACACCUGCCCGGUGCUGGAAGGUUAAGGGAACAUGUUAGAGCAAUCGAAGCAUCGAACCGAAGCCCCAGUAAACGGCGGCCGUAACUAUAACGGUCCUAAGGUAGCGAAAUUCCUUGUCGGGUAAGUUCCGACCCGCACGAAUGGUGUAACGACUUGUGAGCUGUCUCAACAGGGGGCCCGGUGAAAUUGAAGUAUGGGUGAAGAUGCCCAUUACCCGCGACUGGACGGAAAGACCCCGUAGAGCUUUACUGCAGCCUGAUAUUGAGUUUCGGUAACUGAUGCACAGGAUAGGUGGGAGUCUGAGAGACAUGGGUUUCGGCUCAUGUGGAGACGGUGUUGGGAUACCACUCUUCGGUUACUGAAAUUCUAACAUAGCUCUGUGAAACCAGAGGAUGGACAGUGUCAGGUGGACAGUUUGACUGGGGCGGUCGCCUCCGAAAGAGUAACGGAGGCGCCCAAAGGUACCCUCAGAAUGGAUGGAAACCAUUCGAAGAGCGCAAAGGCAGAAGGGUGCCUGACUGCGAGAUUGACAAAUCGAGCAGAGACGAAAGUCGGGCUUAGUGAUCCGGCGGUAUUGAGUGGAAAAGCCGUCGCUUAACGGAUAAAAGCUACCUCGGGGAUAACAGGCUGAUC
rnacentral:rRNA from 1 species